GACGGAGGGGGCAAGCGUUGUUCGGAAUUAUGGGGCGUAAAGGGCUCGUAGGCGGACGGGUAAGUCUGGCGUGAAAUCUCCACCGCUCACCGGGGAGAGGCCGCUGGAUACUGCCUGUCUGGAGUUUGGCAGAGGACCAUGGAAUUCCAGGUGUAGCGGUGGAAUGCGUAGAUAUCGGGAGGAACACCUAUGGCGAAGGCAGCUUGCCAGAAUGCGCUCGACGGUGAGUGAUGAAAUCUGUGGGAGCAAACCGG
rnacentral:rRNA from 1 species